GAGCCCUACGGGACGCAGCAGUAGGGAAUAUUGCUCAAUGGGGGAAACCCUGAAGCAGCAACGCCGCGUGGAGGAUGAAGGUUUUCGGAUUGUAAACUCCUUUUGUUAGAGAAGAUAAUGACGGUAUCUAACGAAUAAGCACCGGCUAACUCCGUGCCAGCAGCCGCGGUAAUACGUAGGUGGCAAGCGUUGUCCGGAUUUACUGGGUGUAAAGGGCGUGCAGCCGGGCGGACAAGUCAGAUGUGAAAUCCCGCGGCUCAACCGCGGAACUGCAUUUGAAACUGUCAGUCUUGAGUACCGG
rnacentral:rRNA from 1 species